ACUAGAAGUUGGUCCGCGGUGUCCCGGGAGCCUGGGAGCCGCCUCAGCCCGCCCGGAGGGAAGGAGGGAAACACCGUCGGAGCCGACCGCGGCCUGGAGAGGGCCGGAGAGCCGGAGGCCAGGGGCCCGCGACGAGUAGGGGUGGAGGGGAGGAAAGCGGGGAGAUCGCGCGAGGAGGAAGCAGCCGAACCUCGGGCGGGCGCUGCGCAUGGAGAACGGCCGCGGCGGAGGGUGCUCCCAGGCGCGGAGAGAAGCCGAGGGCGCCAGCGGGCGAGCGCGAGUCCGGGGUCUGCGCCGCGCUGCUGGUGAAUAAAAAGGAGAGAGGAGGCGCCUCUUACUGCUCUGCCGGAAAACUGCAGCCUGGGCUCCUGAUUGGACUCACCGAGCCCUAAACAAACAGCGCUCGCCGAAGGGUGCCAGGCUGUGGGUCGGAACUGCGCUCAGCGAGCAGCUGGGCGCUGGAGAAAGGAUUUCUUCCGACAGACGUGACCCCAGAAGGCUGCCGAGGGAGACUUUAGGACAAGAGGCGUUGUUUUUUUAGGGAAGGAAGAGGAGCCUGUGCAGAGUUGAACUGGGGUGGAGAGGUGCCUUGUAAAGUAUGGUUUCCAGAGAUGUUUCAGCGUGGCCGCAUUUGGAAAAGGCUGAAGGUAGAAAACUCUGGAAUGGAGAGGCUGGCGACUGGAGCAGGAUCCAGGGGCUUUAAAUUUUAACCUGAAUGCGAUCGAAUGCGCGACUCCCAGAAGAGAUAGCCAGGCGUCCGCCCGGCCGCUCAACCCCCGCCAGGACUCGGAAUGCCUUGCUUUUGGUUCUUUUCUACAAGGAUGUCUGCGUGGAUAUCCCUGGACACUCGAUACCCCCCGGGGACCUGCUUUUCCCGCAGCUCCGCAGACGCGGCGGGAGGGCGCGCUGGCCCCGGCGCUGCUGGGACAGAGGUGAGCAGCGGGGUGGACAUUGACCGAUUCGACAACGUUCGGGCUCUAAGGGCUCGGGAAGGGACCCGGCAUUUUACCCUCCAGAUUCCCAAUCUAUUUUUAAAAAUAAUGUUCAAAACAUAUGGGAAAAAUAAGUGAUUGCUCCUUUUCAUGGUCACAGAUUGUAUUUAUUUUUUCAGACUGGUUUUCCAACCUAACGAGGGAAUGGGUAGUGAAUGUUGUUGUUGUUGUUGUUGUUUAUGUUGGUUAAUUUCGAAAUAAAACUGUUUAACUCGUACAGUUGAUUCAGACAGAAAAC
rnacentral:lncRNA from 1 species